rnacentral:rRNA from 1 species
CACGUAGGGGGCGAGCGUUGUCCGGAUUCAUUGGGCGUAAAGCGCGCGCAGGCGGCUCGGAAAGUCGGGUGUGAAAACUCGGGGCUCAACCCCGGGCGUGCAUCCGAUACUGCCGGGCUUGAGGCAGGUAGGGGAGAUCGGAAUUCCUGGUGUAGCGGUGAAAUGCGCAGAUAUCAGGAGGAACACCAGUGGCGAAAGCGACUUUCUGGGACAUUUCUGACGCUGAGGAGCGAAAGCGUGGGGAGCGAACAGG